GGAAAUAUUCAUGCAAUCACUUCUUGCUCGGAUAAUAGAACAUUGUAAACCUCUAACUGCAAAUACGGACCAAAAUGAAUAAAAUUCGAAAGCACGUAUGAUCACGUUUCAUGCCGAUUGAUGGAGAAAGAUGUUGACUAUGAAUCAAAAAUUCAAAACAGAGGACUUUUAUAUAUAUAUCAACAAAACCACUUGCAGUACAUGCACAUGUAUGAUUGAUAUACAUACAGCAGGAAAACAGUAAUCAAAUAGAGAGUCAACAACGAGUAAUGUCGAAAGCAAAAUUAUUUUGUUAAUACAAAACAAUAUGACUAGAAUAUAUUAAGGUACACAACACAUACUGGAGGAUGAAAAUUUUGAUACCUGGAAUCAGCAAAAUUUAUAUGAAAUUUGUUAUGAGAGAUAUGUUCAUGUACAGAAUGGUAACCGAGGUGGUUCAAGUGUUUAUUAGCAGACAUUUUUGUUGAACUUGUGCAGGAUUUGAAUAAAUGAAACUUAACUCAGUCUAAAGCUGACUAUGGGCUCAAUGUGUAGUAAAAAGAGGAUUUUGAAAUAUGCAAAGACUCAUCAACAUUCAAAUGUGCAUAAGUGACAGUGAAAUGUCACUAUAUUUAGUAAAAAAAUCAGAUCAU